GACGAACGCUGGCGGCGUGCUUAACACAUGCAAGUCGAACGGAAAGGCCCUGCUUUUGUGGGGUGCUCGAGUGGCGAACGGGUGAGUAACACGUGAGUAACCUGCCCUUGACUUUGGGAUAACUUCAGGAAACUGGGGCUAAUACCGGAUAGGAGCUCCUGCUGCAUGGGGGGGGUUGGAAAGUUUCGGCGGUUGGGGAUGGACGCGCGGCUUAUCAGCUUGUUGGUGGGGUAGUGGCUUACCAAGGCUUUGACGGGUAGCCGGCCUGAGAGGGUGACCGGCCACAUUGGGACGGAGAUACGGCCCAGACUCCUACGGGAGGAAGCAGUGGUGAAGAUUGCACAAUGGGCGGAAGCCUGAUGCAGCAACGCCGCGUGCGGGAUGACGGCCGUCGGGUUGUAAACCGCUUUCGCCUGUGACGAAGCGUGAGUGACGGUAAUGGGUAAAGAAGCACCGGCUAACUACGUG
rnacentral:rRNA from 1 species